UAAUUGAAGAGUUUGAUCAUGGCUCAGAUUGAACGCUGGCGGUAGGCUUAACACAUGCAAGUCGUGCGAGAAAGUAUCUUCGGAUAUGAGUAGAGCGGCGGACGGGUGAGUAACGCGUAGGAAUCUACCUAGUAGAAGGGGAUAGCCCGGGGAAACUCGGAUUAAUACCGUAUACCUCCUUCGGGAGAAAGAAGGCCUCUCUUUGAAGCUUUCGCUAUUAGAUGAGCCUGCGUAAGAUUAGCUUGUUGGUGAGGUAAAGGCUCACCAAGGCGACGAUCUUUAGCGGGUCUGAGAGGACGAUCCGCCACAUUGGGACUGAGACACGGCCCAGACUCCUACGGGAGGCAGCAGUGGGGAAUAUUGGACAAUGGGCGCAAGCCUGAUCCAGCCAUACCGCGUGUGUGAAGAAGGCCCUAGGGUUGUAAAGCACUUUAAGUUGGGAAGAAAAGUUAUUGGUUAAUACCCAAUAACCGUGACAUUACCAUCAGAAUAAGGACCGGCUAAUUCCGUGCCAGCAGCCGCGGUAAUACGGAAGGUCCAAGCGUUAAUCGGAAUUACUGGGCGUAAAGCGCGCGUAGGUGGUUUAUUAAGUUGGAUGUGAAAUCCCCGGGCUCAACCUGGGAACUGCAUCCAAAACUGAUUCACUAGAGUACGAUAGAGGGAGGUAGAAUUCACAGUGUAGCGGUGGAAUGCGUAGAUAUUGUGAAGAAUACCAAUGGCGAAGGCAGCCUCCUGGAUCUGUACUGACACUGAGGUGCGAAAGCGUGGGUAGCGAACAGGAUUAGAUACCCUGGUAGUCCACGCCGUAAACGAUGUCAACUAGCUGUUGGAAAACUAUGUUUUUCAGUGGCGCAGCUAACGUAGUAAGUUGACCGCCUGGGGAGUACGGCCGCAAGGCUAAAACUCAAAUGAAUUGACGGGGACCCGCACAAGCGGUGGAGCAUGUGGUUUAAUUCGAUGCAACGCGAAAAACCUUACCUAUACUUGACAUACUUGGAAUGCUUUGUAAUGAAGCAGUGCCUUCGGGAGCCAAGAUACAGGUGCUGCAUGGCUGUCGUCAGCUCGUGUCGUGAGAUGUUCCGUUAAGUCGGAUAACGAGCGCAACCCUUACCCUUAUUUGCCAGCGAUUCGGUCGGGAACUAUAAGGGGACUGCCGGUGAUAAACCGGAGGAAGGUGAGGACGACGUCAAGUCAUCAUGGCCCUUACGUAUAGGGCUACACACGUGCUACAAUGGAGAAUACAGACGGACGCUAAGCCGCGAGGUGGUGCUAAUCCUAGAAAAUUCUUCGUAGUCCGGAUUGGAGUCUGCAACUCGACUCCAUGAAGUCGGAAUCGCUAGUAAUCGCGAAUCAGCAUGUCGCGGUGAAUACGUUCUCGGGUCUUGUACACACCGCCCGUCAUACCAUGGAAGUGGAUUGCACCAGAAGUAGAUAGUCUAACCUUCGGGAGGGCGUUUACCACGGUGUGCUUCAUGACUGGGGUAAAGUCGUAACAAGGUAGCCGUAGGGGAACCUGUGGCUGGAUCACCUCCUUA
rnacentral:rRNA from 1 species